rnacentral:tRNA from 1 species
CUGCCCGUAGCUCAGCUGGACAGAGCACCGGCCUUCUAAGCCGGGGGUCGCAGGUUCGAGUCCUGCCGGGCAGGCCA